rnacentral:lncRNA from 1 species
UUACGAUAUGAAAACAGAAUUCUGGUGGUUCUCUUCUUAGCAACUGGAUGGAUCUUACCCGCAUUCAUCACAUACAAGUUCAUUGACUUGUCGAUGAGAUGGGAGGAGUGGCCGACGAAGGAAGAUAAACUACUCCCAACAUGUAUCAUAGUCUGUGGGAUACUAGGUCUCAUCAUACGUGUGUUUCUCGUGGUCGUAUGCGUUCAUCUUACCGUGAAUUUCGGUCAUGGACUUGGAGAAAAGGUUUAUGGAGCAAGAAAGCGAACCGACACGACGGAUAACCUCACCAAUCCACCCGUUCAAAGAAGAACACGAACCCGGUUGCUUCCUAUCCGGCCUUUCAGCUGGCCCCAGUUCUCCCUUAGCAGCCGACAGCAGCAGCAACAUUUCCCGCUAGACAGGCUGGCCGAGAGGUCCCUAAGUGGAGUCGGCUGAUUGCCAUCAUAUCGCAUUCUAAGUUGCGUUCAUAGUUCAUUUGUGAGACCGGUUAUCCGUUGAUUAUCAAUUUAUAGGAAUAGAUAACCGGUAUCAGUAUAUUUGAGGGAUAUAAAUAAUAUCAAGUACAUUUAUCCCCUUUGUCUUUCACUGCAGUGCUUUGCAAUUUAUUUAUUUUAUCAAUCAAACAACAGAUUGUUUCACUAGUGUUUUUUUUUAAUCACAUAGCCUUUUUCAUUAAGGAUUUUUGACAAAAGAAAAAGGGGCCUACUUUUUGGAAAUUUACCACACCGCUGUCAUUCAUUUAAACAGGUAGAUCUACUGUACUCGUUAUUGCAGAAAAUGAAUACUUUAAGGGUAAAUAAUCUAGUGAUCACUGCUGUGUAUAAUAUACUUGCCUAAUACCUUAUUUUUUGUCUUGCUGCUUAGCAGAGCGAGACUACAGGCGCCGCAUUUUCCGACAACGGCGGUGGCGGCGUCAACAUUGAAAUCUUAACGAACGUCAAGUUCUUGAAAUGUCGUCAUAACUCUAAAAGAGUGUGACUCAAGUUCAUGCAACUUGGACAUAAGAGCAAUCAAGUAUUACUUAACAUCCUGUGUGAGUUUCAGGUGACAUGAAAUAGGUCAAAACUUAUUUCGGGUCAAGGAAGUUUGACCAUGUUUGAGGUAUUUGUUAUAUUGCUAUCAUAACUUUGAAAGUAUACGGAUCUAAACAGUCAAUGAAUCUUUGACAUAAAGCGUAAUCUAGUAUGACUGAAUAUCCUGCGUGAGGUCAGGUCGCAUGACCAAGUUCAAAUGUCAUUUACGGUCAGUGAACUUUGGCCAUGGUGGGGAUAUUGGUAGAAUUGGCAUCAUAACUUUAAAAGCUUAAUGGAUCUGGUUCAUGAAACAUGGACAUAUUCGGGUAAUCGCAUGAGCCUUAGAUUAUAAUUAUGAUCGAGGUCAAAUGUCAUCUAUGUUCCGAUAUGAAUAUCAUAUUUUAUUAUCAUGAAUGGUGUUUUCUGAAUAAUUAUACAGUAGUCGUUUUCAAAGUCAGCACUGCUGCUUUAUUGAAUCUCGUAAUGCAGGCGAGGACUGCCAGAUGCGUUUAUAUUGCUAAAAAGUAAAAAAAACAAAAAAAACAGUGUUUGUGCUAAAAUAUAGUUACCUACGGAGCCUUUAAAGUGCCAUCGACCUGACGACUUGGCGAGAUACGGUAUCUCUUAGCCGAGUUAUAAAAAGUUAUAUGUCGACAUGGCGAGAUUCGGUAUCUUGCCAAGUCGACUUAUAAAACAAGGCAAGAUACUAAGUGUCCAAGGCUCGGCGAGAGUCCAAAUAUCUCGCGAAGUUGACAUAAUAAGCAUGAUAAGGUUAUUAUCUCGACAUGACAAGAUAAAGUAUUUCGCCAAGUCGUCAAGUGAUGGCACUUUGAAGGCUCCUUAGUUACCCGUUGUUGAUUUGCAAGUUUUGGUAGGGCACUCUGAAACUAAUAUGAUGAAUUAAACAUUUACAUUGGGUUGGGCAAAAGAUGAAUAAACAGAUAAGCUAGUUAAACUCGUUCAAGGGUGAUCCAAACUUGGUAAGUAAAAAAAAAAUGGUGAAAGUUUGAAAGAAGUCGCACAAGCAAUAAUAAAGUUUCGACUGUUUUGAAAUUGAAAUCCCUUAAAUAUGUAAAUUUCAAAUCGGCAACUGGGUAAGUAAAUCAUGACAAGUUGGAAGGAUAUUUUUUUAUAGGCCAUGUACUUAAUUAUGAAGGAUUGUGCUUUUCUCUCAAGUAACUAUUCGUAUUAUAACGAAAUAAAGCAUAAUGCAUAUAUCCUCAUGAAAGGAAAUGUACCUUCAAAUAAAAUGUUUGAAAGAAAGGACAAUUUAACAUUUUUAUGUAUUUGAGUAAAUGGGAGGGUAGUCCUUGUUCACCAUGAUAUCACCAAUGCGGCCAAUUCGAUUUUGUCAAAGCAUUCAUCCAUGUACUUGUCUGGAUUUGUUUUCUUCCGAUUGAAAUAACCGUUUUAUUUGAGUUGGAUUCCCCUACUGAUAAACGUACAGAGCAUCAUCAUUGUGGGGUGCUGUGGUCAAGUUGUUAUGACUCUUGUCUGUCAAUCUGAGGGACAUGGGUUCUAUUCCCAGCCAUUGUGUUAGCCUUCAUCCAGAAAUUUGCCCAACUGUGCUACACGCAACCCAGAUGAGGUGAAUGGGU